UACGUAGGGGGCUAGCGUUGUCCGGAAUCAUUGGGCGUAAAGCGCGUGUAGGCGGUCCGGUAAGUCCGCUGUGAAAGUCGGGGGCUCAACCCUCGGAUGCCGGUGGAUACUGUCGGGCUUGAGUACGGAAGAGGCGAGUGGAAUUCCUGGUGUAGCGGUGAAAUGCGUAGAUAUCGGGAGGAACACCAGCGGCGAAGGCGGCUUUCUGGACCAAUACUGGACGCUGAGACGCGAAAGCGUGGGGAGCAAAC
rnacentral:rRNA from 1 species